AACGAACGCUGGCGGCAUGCCGAACACAUGAAAGUCGAACGAGACCUUCGGGUCUAGUGGCGCACGGGUGCGUAACGCGUGGGAACCUGCCCUUAGGGUCGGAAUAACUGCCCGAAAUGGGUGCUAAUAUCGGAUAAUGUCUUCGGACCAAAGAUUUAUCGCCUUUGGUUGGGCCCGCGUUGGAUUAGCUAGUUGGUAGGGUAAAAGCCUACCAAGGCGACGAUCCAUAGCUGGUCUGAGAGGAUGAUCAGCCACACUGGGACUGAGACACGGCCCAGACACCUGCGGGAGGCAGAAGUGAGGAAUCUUGGAACAUGGGCGAAAGCCUGAUCGAGCAAUGCCGCGUGGGUGAUGAAGGCCUUAGGGUUGUAAAGCUCUUUUACCCGGGAUGAUAAUGACAGUACCAGGAGAAUAAGCUCCGGCUAACUCCGUG
rnacentral:rRNA from 1 species